GUCGGAGUGGCGGAAUUGGUAGACGCGCUAGGUUGAGGGCCUAGUGUCCGAUAAAAAGGACGUGAGGGUUCGAGUCCCUCCUCCGACA
rnacentral:tRNA from 1 species